UGGGGCCAGCUGAUGAAGGUGGCGAAGGACUGUACUGCGCUUCACCCUGUCACCCUGGCAAACCACCUGCCUCACUGGUGGCAGCUGCUCUCAUUAGCGUAUGUGGGAGCGAAGCCUUUACAGUGGACACAUGACCUUCAAUCCCAGCAGUGGCCGCAGGGAGUCCUUCUCGCAGCCUUCGGCACCACACAACACAGAAACUGGCCCAGGACUGUAGGAGCGGC